rnacentral:rRNA from 1 species
GACGAACGCUGGCGGCGUGCUUAACACAUGCAAGUGGAGCGACGAACCGGGCUUCGGCCCGGGGCAAAGCCGCGAACGGGUGAGUAUCACGUGGGUAACCUGCCCCGAUGACCGGGACAACCCGAGGAAACUCGGGCUAAUACCGGAUGUGCUCUCCGCACUUCAGUGCGGUCAGUAAAGGAAGCUUCGGCCUCCGCAUUGGGAUGGGCCCGCGGCCCAUUAGCUUGUUGGUGAGGUAAUGGCUCACCAAGGCUGCGAUGGGUAGCUGGUCUGAGAGGACGAUCAGCCACACUGGGACUGAGACACGGCCCAGACUCCUACGGGAGGCAGCAGUGGGGAAUCUUGCGCAAUGCGCGAAAGCGUGACGCAGCAACGCCGCGUGAGGGAAGACGGCCUUCGGGUUGUAAACCUCUUUCAGGA